rnacentral:rRNA from 1 species
AGAGUUUGAUCCUGGCUCAGAACGAACGCUGGCGGCAGGCCUAACACAUGCAAGUCGAACGUGAAGCUGGAGCUUGCUCCAGUGGAAAGUGGCAGACGGGUGAGUAACGCGUGGGAAACUACCCAGUGGUACGGGAUAACGCAGGGAAACUUGUGCUAAUACCGUAUACGCCCUUCGGGGGAAAGAUUUAUCGCCAUUGGAUGUGCCCGCGUCGGAUUAGCUUGUUGGUGAGGUAAUGGCUCACCAAGGCGACGAUCCGUAGCUGGUCUGAGAGGAUGAUCAGCCACACUGGGACUGAGACACGGCCCAGACUCCUACGGGAGGCAGCAGUGGGGAAUAUUGGACAAUGGGCGCAAGCCUGAUCCAGCCAUGCCGCGUGAGUGAUGAAGGCCUUAGGGUUGUAAAGCUCUUUCAGCGGGGAAGAUAAUGACGGUACCCGCAGAAGAAGCCCCGGCUAACUCCGUGCCAGCAGCCGCGGUAAUACGGAGGGGGCUAGCGUUGUUCGGAAUUACUGGGCGUAAAGCGCACGUAGGCGGACUGGUCAGUCAGAGGUGAAAGCCCGGGGCUCAACCUCGGAACCGCCUUUGAUACUGCCAGUCUAGAGUCCGGGAGAGGUGAGUGGAAUUCCUAGUGUAGAGGUGAAAUUCGUAGAUAUUAGGAAGAACACCAGUGGCGAAGGCGGCUCACUGGCCCGGUACUGACGCUGAGGUGCGAAAGCGUGGGAGCAAACAGGAUUAGAUACCCUGGUAGUCCACGCCGUAAACGAUGAGAGCCAGCUGUCGGGCGGUUUACCGUUCGGUGGCGCAGCUAACGCAUUAAGCUCUCCGCCUGGGGAGUACGGUCGCAAGAUUAAAACUCAAAGGAAUUGACGGGGGCCCGCACAAGUGGUGGAGCAUGUGGUUUAAUUCGAAGAUACGCGAAGAACCUUACCAAGCCUUGACAUUGAUUGAAUUCACCAGAGAUGGAGAAGUGCCUUUCGAGGAACAUGAAAACAGGUGCUGCACGGCUGUCGUCAGCUCGUGUCGUGAGAUGUUGGGUUAAGUCCCGCAACGAGCGCAACCCUCGUCGUUAGUUGCUAACAGUUCGGCUGAGCACUCUAGCGAGACUGCCUUCGCAAGGAGGAGGAAGGUGAGGACGACGUCAAGUCAUCAUGGCCCUUAUGGCUUGGGCUACACACGUGCUACAAUGGGGCGUACAGAGAGUUGCGAUACCGCGAGGUGGAGCUAAUCUCAUAAAGCGUCUCUCAGUUCGGAUUGGACUCUGCAACUCGAGUCCAUGAAGCUGGAAUCACUAGUAAUCGUAGAUCAGCGAUGCUACGGUGAAUACGUUCCCGGGUCUUGUACUCACCGCCCGUCACACCAUGGGAGUUGAUUUCACCCGAAAUCGGGAAGCAAACCUUCGGGAUGCUACCGCUUACGGUGGAAUUAGCGACUGGGGUGAAGUCGUAACAAGGUAACC